UCUGCACUCAUAUGAAGACCAUUUUAGCUGCAUGUGCUCGAUCAUCAGUGGAGCACUGUGAACUUCUUCUUCUGCAUUCCUCAUUUUCCUUAGACUCAGAUAGAGUAUAGAAAAAAGAUUCAAUUACAGUUGAGUGGAAAGGCGAGUUGUAAACCCUGAAGAGAUUAUUGAAAGAGAAGUUUUGAUGAAGGUGAUGAGCUAUGAAGACGUCGAAAAGGUGAGGACAAUGUUGAAAGAACUGAAGAGGUAGUAGAGCAUGACAAUGCUGCAUUUAUGCCACAUUCUAAUGAUAUGUUGCUUGGUUACUUUACCAUGAAAAGUCCAGUUCCUUCGUGAACAAUGUUCAGAAUCAACAAGGGUUCAUAAAAUGAAGAGAGUAUGUUAUUGGGGUGCAGCCUCACUAUUUUAUUCGUUACGACAGAUAGAUAGAAUGGAGUUACUCAAAAAGUUAGAAACAGGGGAAUUAAAGGAAGCUGGGGGAUUUUUUUUUUCCUUUUGGGAAUGUAUUAAACAUUGUUGUAUAUUUUUGAAAUUCUUGCUUUAUUUAGGAAUAUUAUGUGAUGUGAAAUAAUGACAAUCGUGAUUUUUGUUAAA